UUGUCAGCAUAGCAGGUCCUUCCUAGCCAGCCUCUGGAAUACGCUAGCUCUAAGCUACAAAUGUUUAUACCAUAAACCGGAAUGUACAUUUGCCCAGACCCGGCAGAAUGCUCUUGACAUCUUUAUGUGAAAAAGCCCAGGGAAAUUAUCAUUCAGGCAUGUAGCUAAUGAGAGUGAAGAAUUAUGGUCAUGUUAAUUUCAGGAUUAAUCUUCAAUUAUAGCCCAAGUUAGACGGCAGAGACGGUUACGCGAGGAAAAGACACAGACACGCGGCGGACCCACUGAGCAGGAUGGCUGGGACAAGCAAGCAGCCUUUCCCUGGAACAACUGGCACUCAACGUGAUCAACUGAAUCAAUAAAAUCUAUGAACUACAAAAGAAAUACUGGAAAUCCCUGAUCAUCUUCACAUCGGCUCACUCCUUCUCUGGAAACUAGCUUGUACGAAAAAUGCA